AGAGUUUGAUCCUGGCUCAGAUUGAACGCUGGCGGCAUGCUUUACACAUGCAAGUCGAACGGCAGCACGGGGGCAACCCUGGUGGCGAGUGGCGAACGGGUGAGUAAUACAUCGGAACGUAUCCUUGAGUGGGGGAUAUCGCAGCGAAAGUUGUGCUAAUACCGCAUGAGCUCUGAGGAGGAAAGUGGGGGACCGUAAGGCCUCACGCUGAAGGGGCGGCCGAUGUCCAAUUAGCUAGUUGGUGAGGUAAAGGCUCACCAAGGCUUCGAUCGGUAACUGGUCUGAAAGGAUGAUCAGCCACACUGGGACUGAGACACGGCCCAGACUCCUACGGGAGGCAGCAGUGGGGAAUUUUGGACAAUGGGGGCAACCCUGAUCCAGCCAUGCCGCGUGAGUGAAGAAGGCCUUCGGGUUGUAAAGCUCUUUCGUGAGGGAAGAAACGGCCAUAGUGAAUAGCUGUGGUUACUGACGGUACCUCAAGAAGAAGCACCGGCUAACUACGUGCCAGCAGCCGCGGU
rnacentral:rRNA from 1 species